rnacentral:tRNA from 1 species
GGAGACGUAUCGAAGAGGUCAUAACGAGCCGCACUCGAAAUGCGGUAGCCUUUCGGGGUACGUGGGUUCGAAUCCCACCGUCUCCG